UCUAAACAAAAAUAUUAUUUUUGCCAUAGAAUGGCUUUCUUCUAAAACUACAAAGUAUCACUGGAAAGUACUCUCAGUCAUUAAAUUAUCCCUCAGACUAGAAAUUACUCAUUUGUAUUACAAAAUAAUGCAGACUAGAAAAGCCUUUGAUUAAACAGUCACUAUGUGAUAUUGCAAUUGUUUAUGACUUUGAACAUUUUCCAGCCACUGACAGAUCCCUCUCCUUGUCCUCCUUGUUGUACGCCUUCCCGGGGUUAGUCCGAAUCCUUUUUUCUGAUUGGCUGAGACGAAACACGUGACAGUGUGCAUCUAUUAGUGAUCGGAAGCAUUUGGGUCGUUCCGGUUAUACUCGGUAGCGUUCUUCAGUAAAGCAGCGCUCAAUUUAGACGGUUGCCAGGUCGCCAUUUGCGACUAAAAACCGAUUUUGGCGACCAAAAAUGACAAAAAACACGCUGGUUAGGGGCCCAAAUAUUUUGAGUUGGACUACUGACCUCCAAAUCCAAGUUUCCGCCGAUUUAAUUUCAAAUUUGAACACUUUAUUGUCGCUGAUGUUAACGUCGUUAACAUCUCGCAGGAGUCCGCAAGACUCCGUCGGAUCCAGAACCAGCCCAGAAUGUGGUGGCGGCAUCCGGAGGACAGCACCAACUGAGCCUGAGCACCGCGAACGGAAAGCACCAAGCCACCGGAGCUCUCAUUUUUUCAACUCGGCAGGUCCGCUGGCUGCUCUCCCCGGUCACAGACUGCUCAGACUCCCCAGCUGGCUAGCUAUCCCCUGCUAGCUGCUCGGCUAACACCUGCCGCUCCUCGCCGCUCAUCUGCCCGGGACAAACCGCACCUAUUCCGACUGUCGACAUCCCCAGUCACCCGCUAGGAGCUCCGGACAAUGCGCUGCUCAUUCGUGGGUUACUUUUCACGGCCGUGGGGGGUUUUAAGGCACACUUUGCCCAGCGACCAGUGAUGGCUCGGCAGCUCCAGCUAACAAGUUGACGUGGAAGAGGAACUGGAUCUCUCUCCCCCCCUCCAAAAAAAAAAAGGAUUAAUUUUUUUGGCCACUAAAAGUUGAUUUUGGCUCCGAAAAAUGUCUAAAUUGACGUAUGCGUAGGUGGCCCAAAAAAUGUCAUUUGGGCGACCGGACCUCUCGGCCUUAAAUCGAGCGCUGUAAAGGAGGCGCGGUUUGUUAUUUUCUUUGAUUAUCACUCGGCAAAUUACGAAAAAGUUGAUUGUGACACUGAUGAGACGUGGGCAAAAGUAUCUGUCGGGGUGCUGACUGUUGUCAGUGAAGAUGAGCAAGUCGUUCCAAAUCAGCUCCACCUUCACCCAAUAUCUACUGCCAUCAUUGUUGAGGGAGGUAUUGUAAUGGACAAUGUCCAGAACCUGCCUGAGGCACUUUGCCUUUUGUUUGGAUUGUCAUACGCUUUACAUUUAGACUACCCAAAGGCCAUGAAAAACACUUUGGGCUUCUUUCAAAGAGUGAUGCUUGGUCUGGGAGAGAGCAAACUCCCACCAAAAUUGCAAAGUCUUAAAAAUCUCUUGUUGAGUUACAAUGCAAAUGCACGAGUGGAUUCAGUUGUUUCUUAUUGUUCACUGUAUUAAAGUCAGCCCACGGGUUCAUCAGCAAGUUAGAGGCUGUAGAUGUUCGUACAUUCAUUCACACAGGUGAGAUUGCCAGUCAUUACCCACUCAGGUUUUUGUGUUAAAUACAGUGUUAUAAAGAGAAGAAAAAGUUGAUGUAAAUGGAAGAAAAAUAAAAGGCAAUUUAUAUUUGAACUUUCAACAGUUAUUACCUUGAUUUAUUAUGUUUAAUUGUAAUUCGGAUUAUUUUAAGAAAUUGGAGCCUGUUUUUCAUUCCUGUAUGGAUAUUUUUGAACCACUUAAAUUGCUGAAGUUCAGUUUGCAUGGUUUUAGAAAAUAAGUCAGAUUGCUGUCCAAGUAAAUAUAUAACUUAGAAAUGCUAAGUUAGUUCAACUUAGAUAAGUAUGUUAAAUGAACUGAACAGUGUAAAUUUAACAUGCAAUUUAGUAGAUUGAAAUAGUAAUUCUGAGUAGUCUUUGCUAAGUCAUCUCCGAAAAAAUCAUGGACAUUAAUAGACAAAACAAAAAAGGCCACUUAAGUGGUGAGUGUCUAAGUCCAAAACAUUUCCAGUUGUACAGUAUAUUGCAUUUUCAUGUUUUGGAUUUUCCUUGUUUAGGCCCAUAGAUGUAUUGUGUGUUUAUUUGUAAUCUUAGUCAUUCAUCUUAUUAAAUAAUAUUAUGUAAUAUAUUUCCUAAUGUUUGUUACCUUAUUGUUAUUAAACUACAUUGUCAUGAAA